rnacentral:lncRNA from 1 species
UUUUCAGCAGGUAUAGAUGGCUAUCUGGCUCUUAGUGGUUUUGUGCGUUACAAUGAUCACUCUUUCUCAGCUCAAGCUCGGCCAUAUCAGCAAAGCAACAAAUUACUUUACAAGUAUCCUCCUUUAUUACAGCCUCCGCGAGCAGUUAUCUCGGAAAGCAAACGAUGCAUUCUGCUUAAAUACAAAACUAAAUUAGAAGUUUGGAAGCUAGGCUCUGCUAAUUCAAGUUAUGGUGCAAGAGAUCCAGAAAAGAUAAACCUAGAAAUUCAAGAGGAGCCCAAAAAAAUGCUAGAACUUCACUCUGUUCAAAAACAAAGGAUUAGAUGCUGUGCGCUCUCUCCGGAUGGAACUUUAAUUGCUUAUUCUACAGAUUUCAAGCUUCACUUGUUCAAGUUAGAAAUUGUAAGUGUAAGUUUUCAAAUUUUGGUUUGUCAGCUUCAUUUUGCAUCUUUAAGCAGAUUAAGCAUUUUACCGGAGGCAGGUUGUUAGCCUCAUCUCUGAAA